CAACCCCGCCCGGGGACUGGGAUGGAGCGGGGUGGUUGAGGAGGGGGGAAUUAAAAAAAAAAAAAAAAAACAGAAAGAAAGAAAAAGAAACAAAAAUCAAGGAAAUCUACCUCAGUUAACGCAAACUGAGGGGAAAACCAGCUGCGUCGUAGACUGGAGCGUUCCUUCCUGUCGCGGGCGCCACAGGGACGCUGUGCUGGGAAAGUCUGUGUUUCGGGCCUGAAGGGCUGACGGGGAAACGCUGAGGGGCGCUUUGCUUUCCCUCUCCGGGGCGUUUUACCUCUCGAGGCACCAUAUGUCUAUUUAGGCGAAUUCCAGACUUGGAUAUUGCUGGAGCUAUUUUUUCCUAUAAAUGAGGCACUUUAGCAUAAGCACUUUUACAGUGUGAAGUGGAGGAGGAUUUGAUGCAGAUGUC